rnacentral:rRNA from 1 species
UACGUAGGGUGCGAGCGUUGUCCGGAAUUAUUGGGCGUAAAGGGCUCGUAGGCGGUUUGUCGCGUCGGGAGUGAAAUCCACUGGCUUAACUGGUGGCUUGCUUUCGAUACGGGCAGACUGGAGGUAUGCAGGGGAGAACGGAAUUCCUGGUGUAGCGGUGAAAUGCGUAGAUAUCUGGAGGAACACCGGUGGCGAAGGCGGCAUCCUGGACCGGUAUUGACACUGAGGCGCGAAAGCCAGGGGAGCAAACGGG